CCUACGGGUGGCAGCAGUGAGGAAUAUUGGUCAAUGGGCGAGAGCCUGAACCAGCCAAGUCGCGUGAAGGAUGACGGCCCUGCGGGUUGUAAACUUCUUUUGUCAGGGAGCAAUUGGGUCCACGCGUGGGCUGAGCGAGAGUACCUGAAGAAAAAGCAUCGGCUAACUCCGUGCCAGCAGCCGCGGUAAUACGGAGGAUGCGAGCGUUAUCCGGAUUUAUUGGGUUUAAAGGGUGCGUAGGCGGAAUAUCAAGUCAGCGGUAAAAAUUCGGGGCUCAACCCCGUCGUGCCGUUGAAACUGAUGGUCUUGAGUGGGCGAGAAGUAUGCGGAAUGCGUGGUGUAGCGGUGAAAUGCAUAGAUAUCACGCAGAACUCCGAUUGCGAAGGCAGCAUACCGGCGCCCAACUGACGCUGAAGCACGAAAGCGUGGGUAUCGAACAGGAUUAGAUACCCGAGUAGUC
rnacentral:rRNA from 1 species